GUUUGAAAUGGAAAUGUCCAGCCAGAGCUACACCAUCUACAAUGCCGUCCAUGCAGUAGCACAUGCUCUCCAUAGCAUGUAUUCCUCAAGAGCCAAACAGAAAGUACUGGGUGAGAGAUGGACGCAGCCCAAAGUUAAGCCCUGGCAGGUACUGUCAACUACUCUCCUCAGUGUUAGAAGCACAGGAGUUAUUAUUACUGAUUCAUAUGGUGCACAGCUGAGCCCUGGCAUGGAGGAGAGGCCUUGGGGAUUUUCCCUGGUGAGUUCUAUCAUUGGGAGGGACUUUAUCUCAGUGAAAGGCCACAUGCUUUGCAUGCUGCACAUUCAAAGCUCUUUAAUCCAUCCCAGGAUUCUCCUACUUGGGGUUGCGCAAGGGGCAGGAGUGUCCUCUGUUAUAAGAACUGGGUUGAAACCUCAAAUGUGUGCCAUAUAGCACUGUGGCAAUUUAGAGUAGACAGUUCUGGGCUACAGAGACCAAUAAUUGGACUCAGCACAUGGCAGUUUCACACGUUAAUGGGGGGAAAUUUUUUUAAGUACCCGGUCUAUAUGUUAAAAUGUUCUAAGAAUCCAAAGGUCCACCUGCCAAAUGGAAAAGAGAGAGCGUAUUAGCCUACAAGGUCUGUGUCUCCCCCCCCCCCCCCGUAAUCUAGCUCCACUCCUUCCUGAAGAACAUCCACUUCAACAACAGUGCUGGGGAAGAAAUCUCUUUGGAUGAGAAGGGGCAGCAGGCAGGUGGCUAUGAUCUCCUCAACUUGGUCACAUAUCCCAAUGAGUCCUUCCAGAGAGUCCGAGUGGGGAGGGUGGACCCUCAGGCCCCCCCAGGAAAAGAGUUCACAGUGGAUGGAAGUGCCAUCGCAUGGAAUCCCAAGUUCAAACAGGUGGGUGUGACCUUUUUUUUUUUAUCCUCUUCCAUCAUCAUCAUCAUCCUCAUCAUCUUUUAUGAGAAGAUCAAGAGAUCCAGGAAAACAGUGAUGGCUACAAAGGAGACAAGCUCUGGUACUCACUGAUAAAAUUCUAUUUUUGUUACUUUGUUCAAAUUUGUUGAUCCAAAGCUAGUUUGAAGCUAAUUUGGAGCUCAGGGUUCAGAACAAGGUAUUUCUGACUGAGGAAUCUGUCAGUGUUUAAAGUUCUUGAAAAGGGACUGUGAUGCUCCAAAAUGCGUUGUUGGCAACAAUCUCCGCCAGGCGGAGCCCAAGUAAAAGAAAAAUCAUCUACCACCUGAAGUGUGGUAUAGAAAACAGAGAUGGCUACAAAGGAGAAGUGUGAGGAGGCAAGCUCUGGUACUCUCUGAUGAAAUACUGUUUUUGUUACUUUAUUCAAAUUGGUUGCUCCAGAGCUAGUUUGAAGCUAAUUUGGAGCUCAGGUUAAAGAAAAAGGUAACUUGUGGUUGCCAGCGUGCAUAGCCAUUAUGAUUAGUAACCAGUAGCGGCCGCUGUGGUCUAAACCACUGAGCCUAGGGCUUGCCGAUCAGAAGGUCGGCAGUUUGAAUCCCCAUCACGUGGUGAGCUCCCGUUGCUCGAUCCCUGCUCCUGCCAACCCAGCAGUUCGAAAGCAUGUCAAAGUGCAAGUAGGUAAAUAGGUACCACUCCAGUGGUAAGGUAAACAAGCUCUAGUACUCACUGAUGAAGUCCUAUUUUUAUUAGUUUGUUCAAAUUUGUUGAUCCAGAGCUGGUUUGAAACUAAUUUGGAGCACAGGUUAAAAAACAAGGUAUUUCUGAGUAAGGAAUUGGCAAGUGUUUAAAGCUCUUGAAAAGGGGCUGUUGUGCUCCAAAAUGCAUUGUUGGCAACAAUCUUUGUUUUAGACUCGGUCCCACCAUGUGGAGCCCAGAUGGGGGGGGGGGGAAUCAUAUACCACCUGAAGUUUGUAGUCACUAAUGUUGGUGGAUGGAGUGCCAGUGAUAUCCUGUCCCAGGAUGUUGGUCUGGUCUCCAUCAGGCUGAUGGUGGGGCCAAAAUCCAUGCAGGCUUGGCCAUAAUUUUGGGGAUGAAAGCAUCCAAAAUGCUAAGGAAAGGGCUAAUGCUCAGAAGGCUAUUGAACGCUGUGCUGUCAUAUGCCUGAGGCAAUUGAUUGAUUGAUGGGUGGAUGGAUUGAUUGUAUAUACCACUCUGUGCCCAGAAGCCUCAGAGAGGUUCACAGAAUAAAAUCAACCUAUAAAACCACAAACUACUUAAUCAAUAUCUAAAAAAACUGAAUAACCCGCCCUCCAUAAAACCUACGAAGAUGUAUUAAUACAAGAUGUGAGAUGUAUUAGCAACAUAAGUAACACCUACCUGCAUUGUAUAUUUUAAUCUGCAAGUUCAAGUACACCAAGUAAAAAUUUAUUAUUAUUGAAACUUUAAAAGAGAGUGUCUUGCAUAGUUUUUGUGGAAGGAAAAGGCGAACUUAUUAAUGGGUUAAACGACCAGGGCUAUCUUCCGCAUAACUAUGUAAAUGGGAACUAGAGUUUAAUUCCCAUAAAAUGGUUGGUGAAAACUUCCUUGGAGAGCACUGUCAAGGUUGUGUCAUCUGCAGAGAACAUCCAAAAUAUGUAUAGCAACCUUAUUAAAUAGCUUUCAUCACCAACAACCAGAACCUGCCUCUUCUUUGUCUCACUCAUAAUGGUUCUUCAUUCCCUACUCCUGCACACCUAAGAAGGAGAAGCAUCUGCUGCCGGCUCCUUAUUUCAGCUCUCCUCUCCCUCCAGGAAGGAGUCAGCAUUAGAUUAUGAGGAAUCAAUCUAUCAAGAAGGAGAAGGUUGGCACUAGCUUCUCUUUGCCAUUCAGAUAUGUGCUGGGCUGGCCAAAUGGUUAAGUGACAGCAGAAAGCAUCUUUAUCAGGAGGCCUGAUGCUUGCCCAGGGAGCAAAUGCUUGACAGCCAUUCUCUAAUUUCGUUCCUGUGACCAUUCUGCUGCAAAGCGGACGUAGAUGACAAUAAAACUCCUGGAGAGAAGCAAGCUUAUUCCAUUCAAAAUCCCUUGUUUGUCAUUACCGUUAGAUGCUGCCCAUUUCCACCUGUGUUGAGAGCUGCCACCCUGGACAGAGUAUGUUUCCCCAGCAGGGAAAACAAAUCUGUUGCUAUGACUGUGUUCAGUGCCCUAAAGGGAGGAUUUCAGUCCAGAAGGGUAAGUGAAGGAACCCGAGUCAACUGGAAUUCCCAUCUUCCUCUCCAGCAUAGACAUUCAUGUCUUAGUCUUAUUAUGCCAGCUUAUUUUUUGUCAUGGAUGCCAAGCACAUGUGUUUAUGUUACUGAUACUUAUUCUUUUUUAAUCUCCCCUCCCCUUUGGACAGCCAUUCUAGAGUAUAUUGUGUGGAAUUACGUCCACAUGGGAAUCAAUAUGACAUCCAACUGGCUAGAAAUGGAUUGCACUCCGUAGAUUUCCUUUUCUCUCCAUUGAACCUGCAGCCAACAAAUUUGCAUUUUCUGUUAUUUACCAGUAGUGAAUUAUCUCCUCUAUUUUAUCCACACAGUUCCAAUCCUUAGGAACAGUUAUUUCUUGUCAAAUAUAGAUUUGACAAGCUCCAUUAUGGAAAGUGUAAAAAAGAAACACUUGNNNNNNNNNNNNNNNNNNNNNNNNNNNNNNNNNNNNNNNNNNNNNNNNNNNNNNNNNNNNNNNNNNNNNNNNNNNNNNNNNNNNNNNNNNNNNNNNNNNNNNNNNNNNNNNNNNNNNNNNNNNNNNNNNNNNNNNNNNNNNNNNNNNNNNNNNNNNNNNNNNNNNNNNNNNNNNNNNNNNNNNNNNNNNNNNNNNNNNNNAAUGGGAGUUACAGUCUAAUACUAUCAGGGGACCCAAUGCAAACUAUGUUUAGGCUUCUGUGGGGAGAGACAGGAAUCACAUGUAGGACAGCAUCUGAUGGAGGUUGAAGAAUGACAGGGCUACCUGGGAAGCUAUUUUGAGGAAGAGUUUAAACAUAUGGCUUAGGGUGAAUGGCUCUUGCUCACUAGCAGAGCUCAGCUGAGAUACAUAAGGGAUAAAGUUUUCAAAAGCCCAAGUUGCAUGGGGGAAACCUCCCUUUGAUACACCACGGAGCACGAUUGACAGUAAUUGGAGAGAAGGGAUGAUGGUCUGGAUCAGAAGAAGGGAUAUGGACCUUCACAACCCUCUUUCUAUACCCUGGCCAAGUCUCAAAUUGAAUCAAUUCAGAAAGUUAUACCAUACAUGAGAGGCACUGCUUCACAAGGGAGCAGAAAUUGGGCUGUAGUGGGAUGACACUGAUAAAGCACUUUGCUUGUUCUGAGACUUGAGGACUUUAGCAAAACAGAUCCCCCACCCUGUAAUUUUUUUAAAUUAUCGAUCAUCAUCACUACUUCUAAAUGUCACAUGGGAAAUCAGAUGCCAGGCACAAUAACAGCCACAGAAACAGCCCUUUCCAAAUGUGAGGACCCUGUGUUGUAGUCUAUAUAGGCACCUGUCCUAUCAACUUACAUGAAUCCAGUUAGGGAGGUGGAUUUGAGGCUGGUGCAUAGCUCCUUGCAGCCAAGUUUCCCUAUAACUUUAGCCAAGACUGAAAUGCUGUUGAUAACUAAACGUAAACAUGAUGACCUCCAGCUGCAGUUCAGCACAAAAAUGGUUAGCCCUCCACCUGCUUUUCCUGCUGUUGUUGCUGCAUUGUUCUUCUAGCAAGUAUUUGAACUCCUCCACAAGCAGAUUGAGACAAACAAUUCAAACCAAUUCAUUCGGUCCUCCAGCAGACAUGAUCAUUGGUGAAUUUAUAUCCGUUACGCAAGGAAACUUCAGAAUGCAUGAAUUUACGGAAAAACCCGAAAUCUCUUCGUUUAUUGUUAAGUAAGUAGUUAUUUAUUUAUUUAUUUAUUUAUUUAUUGGAGAAUUGUCUACUGGUCCCACUGAUCAUUCUUGAUGAAAUAAAUGACUGCAUCAGCUUCUCCUUUAAUCCUUCUAGGAUACAUUCAGGCUUAUGUCCUACCACUUGAAUUAGCUUCUGUCAUUCUACUAUGUCCUCCUCACGGGACCACUGGUGCCCAUGCAGAACACAUGACCAUUUGGGGAAGGCUGGAAUGAAGUAGAGAAAGGAGAACCAGCAGCAACGACCACCACCACCCUUAACUUCACUCAUAAUCACACACAGAGAGAGAUACACAUACCUCACAAGGACACUGUAGGACAACACAGCCAGCAAACUGCAGCUCCCUCCUCUUCCCUGAAAGUGCAAAAAUCUGCAUGCAUAAACCCAAGCAUUUGGGACACAUUUACUUGAAAACAAGUCCUUUCAUUGUGGUCAGUGAGUUUCUUCUUUGCUAAAAGAGCAGAGGACAACCAACUCUUAAGCAUGGGCUUCAGAAUCCUGUUGGAAACCAUGGGGAUUUCAAAGAGCUUAAGUUUGUUUCCUGGAUUGCCCCUGCUUUUUGCCCAUAUGGGCUCCAUCCACAACCUAGUUCAGGUUUUCAAGCUGCUUGAAACCCAUAGAUUUUGCAACCCAUCCCUAUGCCAAGUACGCCUCACUCCCCCCCCCCCCCCCAGCAUGCAUUGGCUUCUAACCGAAAAGGGCAAACCUAUGCAUAUCUUCUCUGAAGUAAUGACCACAGACUUGUAAGUGGCUGCAACCGGAAUGCAGCUUAAAUCAUAUUUCUGUGAGAGCCACUUUUAUGAAAGCCAAUGGGAUGCUUCCUCUCAAAUAUUUAGAUAUAACGGAUCACAUGACACAGUGCAUGCACACCAUUUGAAUCGCAAUGCUUUCGGGGGGGGAGAGGAUUUCUCCAAUAUUUGGGGGGCGGGUCCCUUCAGCUCCUAGGAGUUGGAUCCUAUGCCUGUAAUCCCAUUCAUGCUUAUUAGGGAAGCAAAAUGCAUUGAAUAAAAAAAGAAAAGGAGGGAUUUGAUUCCCAAGCACUUUUUUAAAAGGCAUGCAGCAGGGUAAGGAAAGAUUGGAGUGAGCUGAGCUGGUUUGCAAAGAGACCCAGAGCAAAUGGAUCAUCCUAUCCCAACAAAAUAAAUGGAGCCUGGGUGAGACGGACCCUGCGUUUCCCAGAAGCAAUCUGCUCUAUCAUUUGCUAAUGGCUUGGAGUUGCAUUAAAUCAGCAGUUUAGAAAACUCAUCAUGCAGAAAGCAGGGUGGGGGGAAUACUGCAGAUAUUGCUCACCUGCUGUUUCUUUCUCCAUUCCUGGAGCUCACUACUGGCAAUGAAAAUGUAGCAUGGAGAGAGAGGGGGAGGGAGAGAGGAGAGACCAUCCCAGUCCUACCCUCCCAUCUCCCUUCCUCUCUUACGCUGUGAUUCAAGGGCUGGUAAAAAGCCCUUGUGUUUUGGAGCACACUGGUAUACUCAAUGGUUGUUCUACAGGUUGAAUUAAGAACACAUUCCCAUGAAUACUUCAUGGUUCAGAAAUGGAAGGGAGGUGUGGUGGACAAAGCAGCAGAACAAGAGGUAGGCAUGGACAUUGUGUUUAAGAAAGAGGCAAAAGGGGUUAACAGAAGAAUUUAACAGCUUUUUAUUUCUGGGUUUCCCAUAUCCAAACCCACCAAUUCAUCCACAGCACGACAAUGAAUCCCUUUGAAUUCACCAUUUACAUAAAUCUAAUCAAAAUCUAUAAGGAGACUGCUCUAGUUUCAUUAGUUUGAAUAAAAUGUUCCUUUCCUAUGGGUUGCAACAUUCAAGGUACAUGGAUUCUCAAAUCAAAACUGAAACAGAGUUGUUUCUCUUCCGCCAGUGUUGCAGUCAUUCUUUGUCUCAUUGCAGAGUCCUCCCAAAAAACUACCAGCAUGUUCUUGCCUUCAUCUUUGCCAUGCAAGAGAUCAACAAGAAUGCCAAAUUCUUCUCCAACAUCACACUGGGAUCAACAUUUUAUGAGAAUGCUUUUAAUCCUUUGCUAACGUGUUGGAAAAUUCUUGCUCUUCUUUCCAUGGGACAACGAAUUAUCCCCAAUUACCACUGUAAUGGGGAAGAUAAAUUAAUUGCUGUCAUUGGAGGGCUCACCUCCCAAAACUCCCUUCAGAUGGCCAAUAUAUUAAACACCUACAAGAUUCCACAGGUAUGUGUGUAGAUACAUAGAUACAACCACAAGGGCAGACAUAGACAGAAAACCCCAAAAGAGCAUCCAUGUUAGCUUUCAAUCCUAAUACAGUAUGUUUUCUACACUUGUUUCCUACAUUAGACUUGGUAUGGGUACAUGAUUAUGUUAAAGCCUCCUAGCUAUGUGUUGCCUACACUGCCGUCUCAAGUAGCAUUGGGAUUUGGGGGGGGGGGAUAAACCCAUAAUAUUAAUAAUCGAAGCUCUGGUUCUUCCAAACCUGGCCAUGCCACAAAUCAUGUAAUCAUAGGAGCAUCCUAGCCUGAGACUUAAAAAGCCAGUGGUGUAUACUUACAAAAGUAAGACCAGGUGGAUAACUACCACAAUACAGAAGUAUUCUUUCUAGGAACAAAUAGAUGGUCUUUGGAUUCUUAAAAAUAUAAAUCCUUUCCCUUUAGCUCAGCUAUGGCUCCUUGGAUCCAGGGCUGAGUGACCAAAGGCGCUUCCCUUCCCUCUUCCAAAUGGUCCCCAAUGAAGAAGCUCAGUAUGGUGGCAUUGUCUGGCUACUCAGGAAGUUUGGGUGGAACUGGAUUGGCCUCCUUGUUUCAGAUGAUGACAGUGGAGAAACCUUCCUUCGUACUCUCAGACCAAGGCUUUCCCAAAAUAAUCUUUGCAUUUCUUGGACACUGGUGAUCCCACUAGUGACAGUAUAUUUACCUAUUGAGCUUCUUCAAAAAUAUUUGAAUCCAAUAAUGUUUGCUCUCACACAGCAGCAAAUGAAUGUGAUUCUUGUCUAUGGAGACAGUCAGUCUCUAGAAGGUUUGAGACUGAUUUUAGUCUCCUGUGAGGUUUUGUCUAUGUACCCAGUGGAGAGGGUGUGGAUUACAACAGCUCAAUGGGAUUUCACUGCAGUGCUGGUUGGAGACAAAUUUCCUUCAAAAUCCUUCAAUGGCACUUUGUCAUUUACACUCCAUUCAAAUCCAGUUCCAGGGUUUCAGGACUUUCUACAGACCAUAAAUCCAUGGCAGCCAAAUCUUUAUUUCAUCCAGCAGUUCUGGGCCAGUGCAUUCCUCUGUUCAUUUCCAGAUCACAAUCGAAUUGUGACAACUCAGGAACCCUGCACUGGGAGGGAGAAGCUGGAGAAACUCACUGGACCCGUGUUUGAAAUGGAAAUGUCCAGCCAGAGCUACACCAUCUACAAUGCCGUCCAUGCAGUAGCACAUGCUCUCCAUAGCAUGUAUUCCUCAAGAGCCAAACAGAAAGUACUGGGGGAGAGAUGGACGCAGCCAAAAGUUCAGCCCUGGCAGGUACUGUCAACUAAUCUCCCCAAUGUUAGAAGCACAGGAGUUAUUAUUACUGAUUCAUAUGGUGCACAGCUGAGCCCUGGCAUGGAGGAGAGGCCUUGGGGAUUUUCCCUGGUGAGUUCUAUCAUUGGGAGGGACUUUAUCUCAGUGAAAGGCCACAUGCUUUGCAUGCUGCACAUUCAAAGCUCUUUAAUCCAUCCCAGGAUUCUCCUACUUGGGGUUGCGCAAGGGGCAGGAGUGUCCUCUGUUAUAAGAACUGGGUUGAAACCUCAAAUGUGUGCCAUAUAGCACUGUGGCAAUUUAGAGUAGACAGUUCUGGGCUACAGAGACCAAUGAUUGGACUCAGCACAUGGCAGUUUCACAUGUUAAUGGGGGAAUUUUUUUUUAAGUACCCGGUAUAUAUGUUAAAAUGUACUAAGAAUCCAAAGGUCCACCUGCCAAAUGGAAAAGAGAGAGCGUAUUAGCCUACAAGGUCUGUGUCUCCCCCCCCCCCCCGUAAUCUAGCUCCACUCCUUCCUGAAGAACAUCCACUUCAACAACAGCGCUGGGGAAGAAAUCUCUUUUGAUGAGAAGGGGCAGCAGGC
rnacentral:lncRNA from 1 species